rnacentral:rRNA from 1 species
CAAUAGCGUAUAUUAAAGCUGUUGCGGUUAAAAAGCUCGUAGUUGGAUUUCUGUCAAGGUCAACUGGUCCGCCCUCCGGGUGAGCACAUAGUUUGGUCUUGGCAUCUUGCUGGAAACUGUUGCUGCGCUUGGUUGUGUGGUGCAGCUUUCAGCACUUUCACUUUGAGGAAAUUGGAGUGUUUCAAGCAGGCACAUGCCUUUGGACACAGUAGCAUGGAAUAAUUAGAUUGGGCUUUUGCUCCAACUUGUUGGUUCCUGGAGCUGAGGUGAGAAUCAAUGGGGAUUGUUGGGGGCAUCCGAAUUUAGCCGUCAGAGGUGAAAUUCUUGGAUCUGCUAAAGACGGACGACUGCGAAAGCGUUUGCCCAGGAUGUUUUCAUUGA